rnacentral:rRNA from 1 species
UUAAAUUGAAGAGUUUGAUCAUGRCUCAGAUUGAACGCUGGCGGCAGGCCUAACACAUGCAAGUCGAACGGUAACAGAAAGCAGCUUGCUGCUUUGCUGACGAGUGGCGGACGGGUGAGUAAUGUCUGGGAAACUGCCUGAUGGAGGGGGAUAACUACUGGAAACGGUAGCUAAUACCGCAUAACGUCGCAAGACC